GAUGAACGCUGGCGGCGUGCCUAAUACAUGCAAGUCGAGCGAACAGACGAGGAGCUUGCUCCUUCGACGUUAGCGGCGGACGGGUGCGUAACACGUAGGUAACCUACCUAUAAGACUGGGAUAACUUCGGGAAACCGGAGCUAAUACCGGAUAAUAUUUCGAACCGCAUGGUUCGAUAGUGAAAGAUGGCUUUGCUAUCACUUAUAGAUGGACCUGCGCCGUAUUAGCUAGUUGGUAAGGUAACGGCUUACCAAGGCAACGAUACGUAGCCGACCUGAGAGGGUGAUCGGCCACACUGGAACUGAGACACGGUCCAGACUCCUACGGGAGGCAGCAGUAGGGAAUCUUCCGCAAUGGGCGAAAGCCUGACGGAGCAACGCCGCGUGAGUGAUGAAGGUCUUCGGAUCGUAAAACUCUGUUAUUAGGGAAGAACAAACGUGUAAGUAACUGUGCACGUCUUGACGGUACCUAAUCAGAAAGCCACGGCUAACUACGUG
rnacentral:rRNA from 1 species